rnacentral:rRNA from 1 species
UGGGGAAUUUUGGACAAUGGGGGCAACCCUGAUCCAGCCAUUCCGCGUGAGUGAAGAAGGCCUUCGGGUUGUAAAGCUCUUUUGUCCGGAACGAAACGGUACGGGUGAAUAUCCCGUGCUACUGACGGUACCGGAAGAAUAAGCACCGGCUAACUACGUGCCAGCAGCCGCGGUAAUACGUAGGGUGCGAGCGUUAAUCGGAAUUACUGGGCGUAAAGCGUGCGCAGGCGGUUUUGUAAGCCAGACGUGAAAUCCCCGGGCUUAACCUGGGAAUGGCGUUUGGGACUGCAAGGCUUGAGUAUGGCAGAGGGGACUAGAAUUCCUGGUGUAGCAGUGAAAUGCGUAGAUAUCAGGAGGAAUACCGAUGGCGAAGGCAGGUCCCUGGGUUAAUACUGACGCUCAUGCACGAAAGCGUGGGGAGCAAACAGGAUUAGAUACCCUGGUAGUCCACGCCCUAAACUAUGUCAACUGGUUGUUGGGGGUUUGACACUCUCAGUAACGAAGCUAACGCGUGAAGUUGACCGCCUGGGGAGUACGGCCGCAAGGUUA